AGUUUAUACCUUUAGUAGACACACUUGAAAUCCAGCUUUAAAAUAAUGUCAUGAUUUUAAAGCUAGAUUUCAAGUGCUUCUACUAAAGGUAUAAAC